GCGCGAUCGCGCCCGUUGAGAAGGCGUGCCGGAUGGCGCCGUGUUGCGCGG
rnacentral:SRP_RNA from 14 species